GUCAUUAUAAUUUAACAAAAAUAUUAGAAUGUGAGUCUAAAAACAGAAGUUUAACCCUUCUUAAUGACC
rnacentral:tRNA from 2 species